CAGGGCCUGAGCACGCAGAGCCGCCGCUGUGUCUCCAGGCGGCAGUAGCGGUUCUGGUUGGAGAUGCGGGUGGAGAAGCCCACGCCGCAGGUGGCCGAGCAGACGCUCCACUCGGUGCCCCACGGCUGGCAGAGUUGAUGCAUGGAUCUAAAUACAUCUCCUGGGAAGCUCUACUGUUUCUAUAGAAAUGAAGGCACCCACUCAGCAAAUUGACUUCUUUAGACAGCCGUGUUUCUCCAUGCUGUGCCAUUGAACACACCAUGUCCUUGUCUAGGUGGGGUGUGCUGCAGAGGGUCCCAGCUCCCUUCCCAGUGCUGGACUUCCCAGGCAUGCACUUCCCAUCAACCAGCUCCUCCUGACCACAUCCCCAGCCAAGUCCAUAACGGCACAGCUGAUACCUUUAGUGUAUGUGUGGGAUCCAGCUGAGAAAAACAAGCCUCCAGGUCUCACCAUGGUUAUGAAAGCAGCGAUGUCGCCCGGAAAGUAUGUACCAGGGAGCAGAGAGCUGCAGUGCCGAAAGGGGUGAGCGGGGGAGGUGGGCACCCGCUCAAAUAUGACUCAAAAUCAGGGGAAAUUAUUUCUGAUGAACGUAAUUACUUCGGCUCCAGCCCUGAUCAAUACGAGGAGAUGAAACACUCAUAAACCAGCCGAGAAUGCGAGCUAUGCGCCGUGAUUUGUAAAAGAUGUUUGGCUCUGGGCUGCUGCUGUCAGGCUGCCUGUGGGGCAGGGACCCGAUGGGGAGGCUGCAAACCCACAGCCCCCAGCGAGCAUCUCCUGCAAGGUAGGAGAGGAGGUCAUCCCACACGGGUCUCAGUGUUCAUUAAGAACAUGCAGCAGCUGGGCUGGAUGGAACGCAUGCUCUGAUCACAGCAGGAGAGCCACGACAGCUCCUGUAGGAUGGGGUUUGGGUGGGCACCCAGCACAGCUGGGCACGGUGCACUGGGUGAGAGGGUCUUUGGGGAGGGGUGUGCAGAAAGGGAGUGUUUGGCCGCUGGGUCUGCAUGCGUCAUGCAGGGUUGGUGACAGCAGCCAGACCCACAGCUUUGUGCAGCCUGCUUCUGGCCAGGGCUUCUGCUUCUGUUUCAAGCAACCAGAGCCCCAGAGAAGCAUCUCAGAAGGCAGUUCUUGGGAGCCAGAGCCCAAAAAGGAGCACAGUCCAACACAGCAGGGGCACACAGCUGCUUUUGCUGAGCCCAGA